CCCUGGUAGCUCAAAUGGUAAAGACUCUGCUUGCAAUGCAGGAGACCCAGGUUCAAUCCCUGGGUCAGGAA
rnacentral:tRNA from 1 species